rnacentral:tRNA from 1 species
GAGGGCACAGCUCAGUGGUAGAGCAUGUGCCUAGCAUGCACGAGGUCCUGGGUUCAAUCCCCAGUGCCUCCU